rnacentral:rRNA from 1 species
AUUGAACGCUGGCGGCAGGCCUAACACAUGCAAGUCGAGCGGAGCGGCGGACGGGUGAGUAAUGCCUAGGAAUCUGCCUGGUAGUGGGGGAUAACGUCCGGAACCGGGCGCUAAUACCGCCUCCUCUCAGAUGGGCCUGGGUCGGGUUAGCGAGUUGGUGGGGUAAAGGCCUACAAAGGGGACGACCCGUACCUGGUAUGAGAGGAUGAUCAGGCACCCUGGAACUGGGACACGGCCCAGACUCCUACGGGAGGCAGCAGUGGGGAAUAUUGGACAAUGGGCGAAAGCCUGAUCCAGCCAUGCCGCGUGUGUGAAGAAGGUCUUCGGAUUGUAAAGCACUUUAAGUUGGGAGGUGUUACCAACAGAAUAAGCACCGGCUAACUUCGUGCCAGCAGCCGCGGUAAUAC